rnacentral:lncRNA from 1 species
GCCAACCAAUCUAAAGGGAGAGAACUCCGGGCCGGGAAAGGUUGGAGACCGGAGGAGCCUCGAUCGAGCUGAGAGCGAUCUGAACAUCUCCAACCAAGACGAAAAUGCCAAGGAUUCCCCACUUACAUACGUAGAGCCCUAAAUGGCUCAAAUUCAGAUGGUCAGAUCAAGUACGUGGUCUGAUGAGCUGCCACGUUCGGUCCCAAGCGAUCAUGUGGGUUGAUCAUAUCGGGAAGGUAGUAGGAUGUCACUGGCUCCUCGCUAGAGCUAACGUCGCCUUAGAAAGGCUAACCAAUGCCGCC